rnacentral:misc_RNA from 1 species
AAUUCAUCUUGAAGGUGACGAGGACUGUGACUGGAACAGCUCUUUACUGAAUGUUCACGGUGGACCG